rnacentral:rRNA from 1 species
CCUACGGGAGGCAGCAGUGGGGAAUCUUGCGCAAUGGGCGAAAGCCUGACGCAGCAACGCCGCGUGCGGGAAGAAGGCUUUCGGGCUGUAAACCGCUUUCAGCAGGAACGAAAAUGACGGUACCCGCAGAAGAAGGAGCGGCCAACUAUGUGCCAGCAGCCGCGGUGAUACAUAGGCUUCAAGCGUUGUCCGGAUUUAUUGGGCGUAAAGAGUUCGUAGGCGGUCGAGUAAGUCGGGUGUGAAAAUUCUGGGCUCAACCCCAGAGACGCCACCCGGAUACUGCUUAACUUGAGUUCGAUAGGGGAGUGGGGAAUUCCUAGUGUAGCGGUGAAAUGCGCAGAUAUUAGGAGGAACACCGGUGGCGAAGGCGCCACUCUGGAUCGAUACUGACGCUGAGGAACGAAAGCAUGGGUAGCAAACAGGAUUAGAUACCCUGGUAGUCCAUGCCGUAAACGGUGGGCACUAGGUGUGGGAUUCUAUUAACGAAUUCCGNGCCGUCGCUAACGCAUUAAGUGCCCCGCCUGGGGGAGGUACGGUCGCGAGACUAAACUUAAAGUAAGUUAGACGGCGUGAGACGUGCCGACGGACGACGACGAGGGAGUAGG